UACGUAGGGGGCAAGCGUUGUCCGGAUUUAUUGGGCGUAAAGCGCGUGUAGGCGGCUCGAUAAGUCUGCUGUGAAAGUCCAGGGCUCAACCCUGGAAUGCCGGUGGAAACUGUUGAGCUUGAGUCCGGAAGAGGCGAGUGGAAUUCCUGGUGUAGCGGUGAAAUGCGCAGAUAUCAGGAGGAACACCAAUGGCGAAGGCAGCUCGCUGGGACGGUACUGACGCUGAGACGCGAAAGCGUGGGGAGCAAACAGG
rnacentral:rRNA from 1 species